UACGUAGGGUGCGAGCGUUGUCCGGAAUUAUUGGGCGUAAAGAGCUUGUAGGCGGUUUGUCGCGUCGGCCGUGAAAAUCCGGGGCUCAACCCCGGACUUGCUGUGGGUACGGGCAGACUAGAGUGUGGUAGGGGAGACUGGAAUUCCUGGUGUAGCGGUGAAAUGCGCAGAUAUCAGGAGGAACACCGAUGGCGAAGGCAGGUCUCUGGGCAACUACUGACGCUGAGAAGCGAAAGCGUGGGGAGCGAACAGG
rnacentral:rRNA from 1 species